UACAAAGUGGUUAUGAUUAUGAAUGAAAAUCAGAUCUUAUUGAUUGACUUCAAAACAAACAAGGACUAGACAAAGUAUAUAAUAUCGUGUACACAAAUGCUACAGUCCCCAUAAAUAGUGGUUAAUAAUUGGCAAAAAAUACUGAAAGCAAAUUAAAACAUAAUUCUGUAUCUUGGAAAAAUGUAAUCUCAAACAAAUACAAUUUAGUAUGUUGCACGUUAUUAGAAGAAAAAAAUAAAUAUUUGGAAUUUGUGUACACAAGUUGAAGUCAGUGGCAUUAAUUUGAACAGUAGCACAAAUAGAGCUAUUAGGUUAUUAAACGACGCUUCCGUAGUAUGUGCACUGAGAUGGCGUACAACCUGAUAACCCUAACCUGGUACACAUACUAUGUUCAGGCUGUGUGCCAUCUUGGUGCACAUGCUGGGACGGGAUGCACACACGGGAGCACCUAUUAAACAUAUAAAGGUAUUCAAUCUCAGCGAUUGUGUGAUCUCAGUGAUUUUAGGUAGGGUUAGGAACUGAAUUUUAUGAGAAUGUCUUCAAGACACGAAAAUGGAAAUCACAAAAGUAAGUGAGAUUGCAUACUAGUAGCAAGUCGAAAUGAUAAAAUAUUUGUGGAAGUAAAGGAUCAGACCAGGAGAAUGCACUCUUUCAAAUGUUUGUGUA